rnacentral:lncRNA from 1 species
CGCGGCGCUCCAAAGCUCGGGGAGUGGUGGUCUCCCUUUCCUGGAGUCAUUUGUGGGAGUUAGGGUCUUAUCCUGAUCUUUCCUCGUCCCCCGCUCCCCCGUCCUCCGAGGUGGCAGCUGCUCUGGAACGUUUUUUCUUAGAGUUCCAGAAUUGAGACUGAAGUGUACCCAGAGACACAAAGAAAUACAGAAGUCCAGAAUGAUCAAAUGAGAUCACUACCCAAUGAAAUGAUGGGCCGAGGAGCCAGAAGUUGUCCUACUACCUGCUUUCCAGGUCCAGAUUCCACGAGAGCCUUCUGGGCUCCCACCAGAGACCCUCAGUGAAGACUCUGUUGAAGACUUUAAGACCAUGCUAGAAAGCCUCCCGGCAGAGGUUCAGGAAGUUCUGCUAUGAGGAUGCAGCUGGCCCCAGGGAUGUCCUCAGGCAUCUCUAGGACCUUGCUGGACGGUGGUGGCUGAGACCUGAUAUCCACACAAAGGAGCAGACUGUGGAAAUGCUGGUGCAGGAGCAAUUCCAGGCUGUCCUGCCCGAGGAGCUCAGAGCUCAAGCACAGAGAUGUCAGCCUGGAAUCAGAAUCACUGGCUAAGUCUUGCUGCUUGCUUCUUGCUCAGCCUGCAUAUGAGAAGUCAACCAAGCAUUCUCUUGGAUGCAAGAUCCAACUGCACCCAUGGGAAAUCUGAACUUCCACUUUCUUUGAGCUUGUCUUUGGUUGUAAUAAGAAUCCAUCAAAACCCAUGUCUGGAUCUCUCUUUGGCUGAGGCAGCUUUAUUUCCUACAGAAAGAGUUUCUCUGUCCUCUUGUUAGGACAAUCAGCCUGCUGCUUUGGGCUUUUCCAAGAGCCUAUUUUUCAUCUGCUGGAUGCCUC